rnacentral:rRNA from 1 species
CAACGUAGGUAACCUGCCCUGCAGUGGGGGAUACCCAGUCGAAAGACUGGCUAAUACCGCAUUCGCUCUCGAGUUGAAAUACUCGCGAGGAAAGAUUUAUCGCUGGAGGAGGGGCCUGGGUCCGAUUAGCUAGUUGGUGAGGUAAUGGCUCACCAAGGCGACGAUCGGUAGCUGGUCUGAGAGGACGAUCAGCCACACUGGAACUGAGACACGGUCCAG